rnacentral:lncRNA from 1 species
CAAAAUAGGGAGUAAGGCACAUUUUGAAUAGCAAUUUUGACCGAUGGGGCAGAGUGAGCAAAUUGAGCAAUAGCCUCCAUUUCUGUACCAUGAUCACAAACUCCCCUGGCCUGUCUUCUUAGGCUGGGCAAGAGAGCAAAAGGAACAUGAUUUCAUUCCAUCUGGUACUUGGCACUUAUCUUCUUUUUGCUUUAUCUUGCAGUGCGAAUCUGCUUAUGCCCUGGUGUCCUCUCCAACUUUUCUUCCUAGCUAUGCUGUUCAUGUUUCUUGAGAGCAAGGAUUGUGCACAGUAUGUCACACUUAGUACCACUCACU